UACGUAGGGUGCAAGCGUUGUCCGGAAUUACUGGGCGUAAAGAGCUCGUAGGCGGCUUGUCGCGUCGUCUGUGAAAUCUCGAGGCUCAACCUCGAGCUUGCAGGCGAUACGGGCAGACUUGAGUACUGCAGGGGAGACUGGAAUUCCUGGUGUAGCGGUGAAAUGCGCAGAUAUCAGGAGGAACACCGGUGGCGAAGGCGGGUCUCUGGGCCGAUACUGACGCUGAGGAGCGAAAGCGUGGGGAGCGAACAGG
rnacentral:rRNA from 1 species